rnacentral:lncRNA from 1 species
AAUAAAUUCAUCAUAGAUUAUGGCACGCCGUUCUCGUCAAAACUAUGUUAAAACCAUUUUUCGAAAAAUUUACACACUGAGAAUUACAACAAAGCACACUGAGAUUUAAAAACUUCAAAACACACACUGAGAAUUAAAAAAUACACACUGAAAUUUCAUAAAGACGCACUGAGAUUACAAAAAAGAAAAACACACACUGAGAAUUGAAA